GUAGUGUAGCGGUUAACACGCCUGCCUGUCACGCAGGAGAUCGCGGGUUCGAUUCCCGUC
rnacentral:tRNA from 1 species